AUUGAACGCUGGCGGCAGGCCUAACACAUGCAAGUCGAGCGGAGCGGCGGACGGGUGAGUAAUGCCUAGGAAUCUGCCCGGUAGUGAGGGAUGACGUCACGAAACGGGCGCUAAUACCGCAUACUAUCAGAUGAGCCUAGGUCGGAUUAGCUCGUUGGUGGGGUAAAGGCCUACGAAGGCGACGAUCCGUAACUGGUCUGCGAGGCUGAUCAGUCACACUGGAACUGAGACACGGUCCAGACUCCUACGGGAGGCAGCAGUAGGGAAUAUUGGACAAUGGGCGAAAGCCUGAUCGAGCCAUGCCGCGUGUGUGAAGAAGGUCUUCGGAUUGUAAAGCACUGUAAGUUGGGAGGCGUUACCAACAGAGUAAGCACCGGCUAACUACGUGCCAGCAGCCGCGGUAAUUC
rnacentral:rRNA from 1 species